CCUUUUUGCAGCGAUCACAGUUUGAUUCUGAAGAAGAAACAAGAAAUUCUCAAAAGAAACCCCAAGGAAAUAGCAUGACCAGAAAUAAUGUCAUGGAUCAAACUGACAAUAGGAGACACCGGAAAGGGGUUUGGAGAUCAUAUGGUAGCUCAUCUUUCAAAGAUUCUGAAGCUGGCCGGUCAAGUAGGCAAUAAGAAAACAAAAGUUGAAAAUUUUAGUCCAUGGCUACAAUCUUCACUGCAGUCUGACUCAUUGAAUGAGGUGAAGUUUGGUGGUGUUUUCAUCUUUAUGCAUUUUAUACUAACAUGCACGCUAAUUUAAGACUGAGACCAAUGGCAUUGCAGUUGGAGAAGCUUGGUUCUUGGGAUUUCUUUGAGAUAUCGGAAGAGUUUAUCUUCUGGCAUGCAGAAAGCUAUCAUGGUUGCGUUCUAUUUUUAUUUUUGCUUUUUUCUGUUUUAACUACUCACAAUAUGCUGGGAUGACAACAAGAAUGAAAAGAAAGUCCGAAAAUUGUUUGAAUUUUUUGAGGUUUGUAAAGAUCUUUUACUGUCAGAAAGUUUAUAUACCCACAAACAACCAAACAGACUACAUUAAAUUGUGUAAUUCCACAUGAAAUUUUCUAAUGACCUAAAAAUGUGUUGUCCAUGGAUCUAUGCAAAGAUUUUACAUUUACAUUUUCUCCUGAACUGUACAAUUAAGUUAACUUCAAACCUCUGUUUCACUAGCAGUUGAAUUAAUGUUUCGAAUCUCAAGAUCAGAGAACCAAUAUAGAAGGUCUUUUUUUUUGUAUCUAAGAUAUAUUUCAAUAUACUGUAUUUCUUAUUAUCUUAUACAAAUAUUCUUUUUACAAUUGAAUUAUCAUAUAUUCAAAAUAUUUAAUAAAUUCUUCCUGAUUUUUAUGAAAAUACUAUAAUAAAAUUGGUAUGUGUAUUUUAUUCGAUACUAUAUUAGCUUUACUAUUAUAAAUUUAAUAUGGUCUUCCAUAUAUUUAUAAGAAUAUUAUAAAUUAUGGGUAUUUAUAAUUUAUUUGCUAUGAAUGCUAUUUCUACCAUUAAGUUGUGAUAAAUUUAAGAGAUCAAUAUCUUCUUCCAAAUCUUUAUAAAAUAAUUUAUAAAUUUUGUGUGUGAAGAGACACUACAAAGUAUUAUCCAAUUCCUAAUACAUAAAUAUAUGCAUUUCAGAUUAUAUAAUCCCAAACAUUUCCAAACAGAGUAAUCCACUGUAUCUUUAAAUUCUGCAAUCGGAAAAUCUUUAUUGAAUCCAAGACAAAUCCAAACAACAGAAUCCAAAACUUAAAGUGAAAAAAAAAAAAACCUCAACCAAAAUGAAUGAACUAGAAUCACCUCCUACCAACGCCGGCGACGAGUACGAAACACCAUAUCCACCUACGAAUCAUCACCAACCACCACCGUCCACCACCAGAAAUGAUACCACAACCUUUACAACACAAUAAAAACACUCUAACUUUAUUUAUCUCCACAAGGAUAUAAAUAGUAUUUCGAAGAGUAUCGGUUGAAGGUGGAAAGCAUGAAAGUGCAGGAAGCACCGUAUGGAGAAAUUCACAAGUUAUUCUUCCUCUUCAUCGUCUUAUAGCGUUGUAGCAGAGUCUUCUGUUGCUGCUAUUUUUACUGUCUUUGGAU
rnacentral:lncRNA from 1 species